rnacentral:rRNA from 1 species
UACGUAGGGUGCAAGCGUUAAUCGGAAUUACUGGGCGUAAAGCGUGCGCAGGCGGCUUUGCAAGACAGAUGUGAAAUCCCCGGGCUCAACCUGGGAACUGCAUUUGUGACUGCAAGGCUAGAGUACGGUAGAGGGGGGUGGAAUUCCGCGUGUAGCAGUGAAAUGCGUAGAUAUGCGGAGGAACACCGAUGGCGAAGGCAAUCCCCUGGACCUGUACUGACGCUCAUGCACGAAAGCGUGGGGAGCAAACAGG